UACCAGGACUUUAAGAUUACAAGGCAUACCCACUAUUUUUAUAGACUGUACAAUACUUCUCACAGUGCAGCUGCAUCCUGAAAAUUAUUUGCAAAUAGCCCUUGCUUGCAUAAAUAGCUCAGCUGGGCUUUUCUGUAACAAAGACACAGUAGUCCUUACCCAGGCCACAAACCCCACUGACCCACACAAGUGGUAUUCUGCUAGGGUGAGACCAUGGACUUCAAAAAAAAAAAAAAGAAUAACAUAUGUUUGAAAGAUGAGAGAUUGGAGGAGAACUUGUUGGCUUCUGUGGAGCACAAAAGGAACUGUGGGAAAGUGGUGAAGGACUUUCAUCAGACAAAAGGAUUAUCCUGUUUUCUGCAGUAAAGCAGGUGGCUGCCAGCUGAAACAGUGAAUGAAAAAGUAGAAAAACCUGCUUGUAAAAUGACUUUCCUAUCACAUUUACUCAGGAGAAUCCUGUGGAUGAUGCAAAAGUAAAGGCCACUGAAGAAUUGGCUCUGCAGGUAUAUCAGGCUGAAACUGCACAUCUGUUAGCACAGAAGUAUGACCUUUAAUACCAGAUACCUGAAUUUGGAAUCCAAAGUGUAACUGAGGAAGAAAACCUAAAUCCAGAUACUUAAAUCACUUGAAUAUUUCCAACAUUGUUAUAUAAGAAUCUCACAUUUAAAAGGAUAUAAUCUAAAAAGACUAUUUAUAAAUGAAGGGUUCCUAUUAACAUCUAAAAUAAAUGAGCAUUAUCUCACAAA